rnacentral:rRNA from 1 species
UACGUAGGGUGCAAGCGUUAAUCGGAAUUACUGGGCGUAAAGCGUGCGCAGGCGGCUAUGCAAGACAGAUGUGAAAUCCCCGGGCUCAACCUGGGAACUGCAUUUGUGACUGCAUAGCUAGAGUACGGUAGAGGGGGAUGGAAUUCCGCGUGUAGCAGUGAAAUGCGUAGAUAUGCGGAGGAACACCGAUGGCGAAGGCAAUCCCCCUGGGCCUGCACUGACGGCUCAUGCACGAAAGAGUGGGGAGCAAACAGG